CAGCAGCCACGGUAAUACGAAGGGUGCAAGCGUUACUCGGAAUUACUGGGCGUAAAGCGUGCGUAGGUGGUGGUUUAAGUCCGUUGUGAAAGCCCUGGGCUCAACCUGGGAAUUGCAGUGGAUACUGGGUCACUAGAGUGUGGUAGAGGAUAGUGGAAUUUCCGGUGUAGCAGUGAAAUGCGUAGAGAUCGGAAGGAACAUCUGUGGCGAAGGCGACUAUCUGGGCCAACACUGACACUGAGGCACGAAAGCGUGGGGAGCAAACAGGAUUGGAUACCCGAGUAGUCCCUGUCUCUUAUAC
rnacentral:rRNA from 1 species